UAGUACGAUCAUUAAUUUUCACGAAGUGC
rnacentral:sRNA from 1 species